AUACUCUAUCUGUGUAUCGUUCACAGGACAUAUACAACAGAUACAAGAACCAGAUUGUAAAGGAUCAAAGGUAUUUGUAUACUAAAGAAUAGGGGAUUACUCAUGUAAGAUUUCCAUUGGCAAAGAUGAUGACGGCAUGUUGCAAAGGCAACACCUCUCAGGCUGCAAUUGUCUCCUGGUCCAUUAUGUUGUUGAGUGUGGCAGCACCUUAAGUUAAUUAUUGGGUGACAAACUGAAUUUGCCAACCUGUGGCAAGACCACAUAAAUGUUUCUCAAUUGCAAGGACCUCACCUUGUUGCGUAGCAGCUCAAAUGAUUUUGAAUCUUUUGGUUCAUGAAAUAAUGUAUCAAAUUUUAUGGUGAAGAUGGCAGAUUGGGGGAUAUGGACGUCUCUUGGACGCAUACCUUGAGGACAUCAAACAAAUUCGUUGACCUCCAAGCAAAGGAUGGGGCUAGAGCGCAAAUUGAAGACACAUGAGGAUAAAGGACUGGUUGUUGCUAAACUUUUGCCUUUUAGCUUAAAUUUUCUACAAAGGAAUAACUCGUAACCCUAUUUUUUGUAAUAUCAUUGUACAUCUUGUAACCUUUACGCCUGUACUUUUGUUAUAGAGCAGGCUUUUUACUUACCUAGAGGGUCCCAUGCUUAGGGACCCUCGAUUUUAAUACUUGUGUAAUUUUUCUAUUCAAUGAAACACAGUUAACU